UACGGGGGGGGCAAGCGUUGUUCGGAAUUACUGGGCGUAAAGGGUUUGUAGGUGGCCAACUAAGUCAGACGUGAAAUCCCUCAGCUUAACUGGGGAACUGCGUCUGAUACUGGUUGGCUUGAGUGCAGGAGAGGAACGCGGAAUUCCAGGUGUAGCGGUGAAAUGCGUAGAUAUCUGGAGGAACACCGGUGGCGAAGGCGGCAUCCUGGACCAACACUGACACUGAGGAGCGAAAGCCAGGGGAGCAAACGGG
rnacentral:rRNA from 1 species